GAUGAACGCUAGCGGCAGGCCUAACACAUGCAAGUCGAGGGGGCAGUUACUUUCGGGUGACUGCGACCGGCGUACGGGUGCGUAACGCGUAUACAAUCUUCCUUUCACUGGGGGAUAGCCCGAAGAUAUUUGGAUUAAUACUCCAACGUAUAUAUGUAUGGCACCGCUUUUUUCUUUAAGCUUAGGCGGUGUAAGUUGAGUAUGCGUUCGAUUACCCAGUUGGUGAGGUAACGGCUCCCCAAGGCGCUGAUAGAUAGGGGUUUUGGGAGGGAAGUCCCCCACACUGGUACUGAGAUACGGACCAGACUGCUACGCGACGCAGCAGUGAGGAAUAUUGGACAAUGGACGGUAGACUGAUCCAGCCAUGCCGCGUGCAGGAGGAAGGUCUUAUGGAUUGUAAGCUACUUUUGAAAGGGAAGUAUAAGGGCUACGCGUAGUUUGAUGACGGUACCUAACGAAAAAGCAUCGGCUAACUCCGUG
rnacentral:rRNA from 1 species